GGCUUUUGAAAGAAACAUUUUAAUUGUUGCCAUACUCAUCACCUUGGGGACCUUGGCGGACAAGGAUUGUCUGCCCUCCACUUUCAGUGCCCUCCUGUUUUGUGUGGUCACAGUUAAGUCAUGUCAACAUUUUAUAUUGUUUUUUUUAUAGAUAUAAUAAGACAAAAAUAAAUAGUAAUAUAAAAUGUUAACGUGGCUUAACUGUGGCCACACAAACAGGAGGGCACGGGAAGGGCACCGAAAGUGAAGGGCACCGAAAGUGAAGGGCACCGAAAGUGAAGGGCAGACAAUCCUUGUCCGACCUUGGCAUCUCAAGCCACGUCCCGCACAUUGUACGAAGCUUCCAUUGCUACAAAACAUGAGCAAUGGAUGGAAAAGUUUGGGCGCGUUUACCAGGACAGCGCAAAGAAGGAAAGGCAUUUCCACAUAUUCAAGAACAAUGUGGAAUUCGUGGAGAAAUUCAACAGUGAAG
rnacentral:lncRNA from 1 species